rnacentral:rRNA from 1 species
CAGCAGCCACGGGAAUACGAAGGGGGCUAGCGUUGCUCGGAAUCACUGGGCGUAAAGCGCACGUAGGCGGAUCGUUAAGUCAGGGGUGAAAGCCUGGAGCUCAACUCCAGAACUGCCUUUGAUACUGGCGAUCUCGAGUCCGGAAGAGGUGAGUGGAACUGCGAGUGUAGAGGUGAAAUUCGUAGAUAUUCGCAAGAACACCAGUGGCGAAGGCGGCUCACUGGUCCGGUACUGACGCUGAGGUGCGAAAGCGUGGGGAGCAAACAGGAUUAGAUACCCCCGUAGUCCCUGUCUCUUAUAC